rnacentral:ncRNA from 2 species
AAGAAAUUUAAUAAUUUUGAAAAUGGAUUUUUUUGUUUUGGCAAGAGCAUGAGAGCUUUUACUGGGCAAGAAGACAAGAGAUGGAGAGUCCAGCCGGGCCUGCGCUUAAGUGCGCGGUCGUGCUAGGCUUGUAAGUUUCUUUCUUGCUAUUCCAAACGGUGAGAGAUUUCUGUGCUUUUGUUAUAGGACAAUUAAAACCGUUUCAAUACAACACACUGUGGAGUUUUCAUAUCUUUGCAACUUUUUCUUUGGGCAUUCGAGCAAUCGGGGCCCAGAGGUAACAAACACAAACAAUUUUAUCUAUUCAUUAAAUUUUUGUCAAAAACAAGAAUUUUCGUAACUGGAAAUUUUAAAAUAUUAAAAACUUUCAACAACGGAUCUCUUGGUUCUCGCAUCGAUGAAGAACGCAGCGAAAUGCGAUACGUAAUGUGAAUUGCAGAAUUCCGUGAAUCAUCGAAUCUUUGAACGCACAUUGCGCCCCUUGGUAUUCCAGGGGGCAUGCCUGUUUGAGCGUCAUUUCCUUCUCAAACAUUCUGUUUGGUAGUGAGUGAUACUCUUUGGAGUUAACUUGAAAUUGCUGGCCUUUUCAUUGGAUGUUUUUUUUCCAAAGAGAGGUUUCUCUGCGUGCUUGAGGUAUAAUGCAAGUACGGUCGUUUUAGGUUUUACCAACUGCGGCUAAUCUUUUUUAUACUGAGCGUAUUGGAACGUUAUCGAUAAGAAGAGAGCGUCUAGGCGAACAAUGUUCUUAAAGU